CCAGAACGCUCUAUAUCAACUGCGCAUAAUCCUGACGUCCUGGGACCUGAAUUUCGUAGAACCAGAACAAACCUAUUGUUCAGAUUCAAUCGAGCAGUUUCGUGAAGGCCAGCUUACUUCAUUUGGAUCAAUUCAUCAUUCUUUGUUUGUCGGCUUUGUUCCUGUUUGGUUACAUAUUGUUGUGUUUAUUUUGUGAUAUUCAGAAUAAUCAGAAUCCCUUCAUUUACCUAAGAAAUAAGACUUUAAGCAUAAGUGUAAUUAGUGAUAUCUGAAAUGGUCAAAAUUUGUGAGGUUUGUGGACUCAAGCAGUCUCCGGGAUGUGACAAAACAUUCCAUAGAUUUGAAACAUCAACCUCUGCCACAUCUGGUUUGCUUUUGAAACUAGAAAACAUUCCGCCAAUGUAUGGGAGUGCUUUAUCUGAAGAAAAAUGCAAAGAUAAUGAGAGUACAGAUAUGCAGGAAACUUUCAGUACACUAACUGUCCGUUCACCACAAAUGAUAUCCAAUCCUAGAAAAAGAAAAACUAAUUGGUGUAAUGAAGGAUCUGUUUCGAAAAAAAAAAGUAUUCGAUAUUUUGGGGAUCUGGAUAGUGACAAUAUGGAAGAUGCCAAGAAUAGAAGAAAGUGUUUUCAAAUAGCCCGAAACACCAUAUCAAAGCAAAGAGCCAAAAUAAGACAACUACAGCAAAGUAAUAGAAGGAUGAGUCACAAAAUCAAAACGCUCAAAUUAUUGACCCAGCAUCUCAGGAAUCAUAAUAUGAUAUCUGAGAAUGCAGAGUGUACUCUGAAUGCAUCUUUGUCUGGAGCUUCAAAAGAAUUGUUCAACUGGAUGCUCAAGAGCCUGGAACACAAAAGUAUUCACCUGAAUUGAGACAAUUUGCUCUUACCCUAAAUUUUUAUUCAACCAAAUCGUAUAAUUAUGUCAGACAAACAUUCUUCAAAAGUCUUCCUCAUGUGAGAACACUCUCAAAGUGGUAUCAGACAGUUGAUUGUACUCCAGGAUUUCUGAAGGAUGCUCUAAAUGCCUUGAAGGUUAAAGCAGGUUAAGCUUCUUCCAAAGGAAUUAAAAUAUUGUGCAAUCUUGUAUUUGAUGAGAUGGCCAUCCGAAAAAGAGUUGAAUGGGAUGGAAAAAAAUUUCAUGGAUAUGUGGAUUUUGGCGUCAACCUUGAAUCAGACAAUUUAGAUGAAGCAAAGGAGGCACUUGCUUGUUGCCUUGAAUGGAUCUUGGAAAAUUCCAAUCCCAGUCACAUGAUAAAAUUAGUCAGAAACGCUUUUGGUUCAAAACAAGUUCUUAAUGUAAGAAGAGUAGAAAAAAGAAAACUAAUUUAUGGAAAACCAAUCAAAUGGGAUUUUGUAAAGAAACUGAGCGAAAUUCAGGAAACAGAACUUAGGAAACAGAACACUUAGCUACAAAACUCAGAAAAAGACACAUUGCCUGGGUAAAAGAAAAAAUGAAAGUAAAACUUGCAGUGCAGACACUGAGCAACAGUGUUGCAGUCGCCUUAGAUUAUUUAAAUUUGGUCCUAAAAUUAGAAGAGUUUUCAUUUUCAGAACCCACUUCAUUUUUUUGUAGAACUUUUAAUAAUUUAUUUGACACUUUCAUUUCUAGAAGUAGAUUUACCAAGAAGCCUUAUGAGAAACCGCUUUCUCCACAAACAAAAAAGGAAUAUUUCGAUUAUAUGAACCACUGCAGAGAUUAUAUAAAGAAGCUGAUAAUUGGAAAUGAAAAUAUUCCUGUUUUGUAUUCAACAAGGAAAACUGUUUUUUUGGGCUUUCUCAUUUGUAUAGAAAGUCUCAAACAAUUGUAUGAAGAGAGGGUCAUAAAAAAAUAACAAUUGAAGUAUGUCCUGACAUAUAAAUUGUCCCAAGACCAUCUGGAGAUCUUUUUCAGUUGUGUUAGAGCUAAGGGGGGAUACAAUAAUAAUCCAACAGCCCGCCAAUUUGGCAGUAUAAUGAAAAAAAUACUAGUUCACAGUGAAAUAAAGGGAAGCAACUGUGCAAAUGCAGUAGCUUUGGACUCAACAAAUAUUUUACAUUGCACUAGUUCAUGGUUGGUCAGAAAUGAGGGAGAUAGGGUUGAAGACAAAAUUAGAGAUUGGAAGAAAACAGAUGAUCAUGAUUACAUUGCAUCAAAUGUAUAGGAUUUAACCUUGUAUGUGGAUGACGUGGUGGCAUAUAUAGCUGGGUUCGUUGUGAAGAAAAUCAAAAAAAUUAUAAAAUGUUCUCACUGUUUACAUUUAUUAGAGUGUAGUGAAGCCAUAUCUGGUUUACAGAAAAGAAAAAUGUAUGGUAUUAUGGUGAAAGCUUCGCAAUUUGUCAUAAAUGUCUGUAAGGAAGGAGAAAAAAGAUUGAGGUUGUUGAAGAAUAGUUCAAACAUUUUCUGCGAAACUAGGUAAUUUAAAAGUUGAAGUAAUCAUAGAAACUUUCCAAAAUAUUCAAGGUCAUAUUUUUGAUGUUUUUAAAGACCAUUUUUUUGAUGAUGAACCCCUAAGUAAUCACGGUUUCCAAUUGUCAAAAUUAAUAUUGGAAAAAUAUUUUGACUUGAGAAUUCACCAUGAAACAAGUAUAUUAGAAAAUAAACGAGGAAGUAGAAUACGUUCUGUACUAACCAAAACAAUUUUGUUUAAAAACCAAUAAGGUUUUUGUUUUUGUUUUUUUUUAUUCCGGUUCUGAGGAAAAAGAAAAUACUGUAAUAUUUAUAACAUUGUGAGAACUGAGGAAAGGAGGUAAGAACUGGUGAUUUUGAAUUUCUACAGGCUGUAUGCCUACGAGAAUACAUUCUGCUAAGGGUGGAAUAGUUGGUGAUAUUUCAGAAGAGCAUCAUCCAUAGAAAUACCUAUAAAACAGACAAGUCGCCAACCUUUCUGCGGUGCUCCAGAGAAGUGAGCGAGCUUGUAAGUGAAACAUUACAGAUGAGAGGAAUGUCUUUAUUUUUACAGAAUCUGAAAGUUUCAGUGUGUGUUUAGUACUGCAAAGUAAGGCGAUCAAAAAUAUUUAUAAUCUCAUGCUUUCCAAAAAUUUCAACAUUGUGCCACAAAACAUUUAUAGAUUUCAAGUAUCUUUCUAUAUACAUCAAAUUAUCUGGCUCUAUGGCCAAAACUGGGUAUUUUUCAGAUGAGUUUACAUUUCUAAUAAAAUAACUUUAUAGAUCAGAGCAUUGGAUACAAAGAGGUUCAGAAACAAUUAAAAACUGCCGCCAUAAGAGUAAUUUUUUCCACUUAUUCAAAACAACUGUGUAUUUUUUUAUUAUUAUUUUUCUCCUUUCGAUACUUGUAAAUGUACUUAUCUGUAUAGUAAUAUCCUGUUCAGUAACAUAUGUUGAUUGUAACUACCUAUCUACUCAUCUUCUGUAUUAGAUUUUCUUUUAUAACAAUGAAUGUAAUUCCAUAUAUACUCCAUCUAUGUAGAGGAUUUAUUAAUUUGUAUAGAAUGUAAAUUUUCUUGAUUCAAUAAAGUGUUCUUUCUCUUGUAAAUAUAGUUUUUGAAACUAGG
rnacentral:misc_RNA from 1 species